rnacentral:tRNA from 1 species
ACUCGAGACGCCGUCCCUGAACCCGCGCC